ACGAACGCUGGCGGCGUGCUUAACACAUGCCAGUCGAACGGAAAGGCCCUGCUUUUGUGGGGUGCUCGAGUGGCGAACGGGUGAGUAACACGUGAGUAACCUGCCCUUGACUUUGGGAUAACUUCAGGAAACUGGGGCUAAUACCGGAUAGGAGCUCCUGCUGCAUGGUGGGGGUUGGAAAGUUUCGGCGGUUGGGGAUGGACUCGCGGCUUAUCAGCUUGUUGGUGGGGUAGUGGCUUACCAAGGCUUUGACGGGUAGCCGGCCUGAGAGGGUGACCGGCCACAUUGGGACUGAGAUACGGCCCAGACUCCUACGGGAGGCAGCAGUGGGGAAUAUUGCACAAGGGGCGGAAGCCUGAUGCAGCAACGCCGCGUGCGGGAUGACGGCCUUCGGGUUGUAAACCGCUUUCGCCUGUGACGAAGCGUGAGUGACGGUAAUGGGUAAAGAAGCACCGGCUAACUACGUG
rnacentral:rRNA from 1 species